CCUACGGGGCUCUGCAGUGGGGAAUAUUGGACAAUGGGCGAAAGCCUGAUCCAGCCAUGCCGCGUGUGUGAAGAAGGCCUUCGGGUUGUAAAGCACUUUCAGUGGGGAAGAAAGCCUUGGGGCUAAUACCCUCGAGGAAGGACAUCACCCACAGAAGAAGCACCGGCUAACUCCGUGCCAGCAGCCGCGGUAAUACGGAGGGUGCGAGCGUUAAUCGGAAUUACUGGGCGUAAAGCGCGCGUAGGCGGUCUGAUAAGCCGGUUGUGAAAGCCCCGGGCUCAACCUGGGAACGGCAUCCGGAACUGUCAGGCUAGAGUGCAGGAGAGGAAGGUAGAAUUCCCGGUGUAGCGGUGAAAUGCGUAGAGAUCGGGAGGAAUACCAGUGGCGAAGGCGGCCUUCUGGACUGACACUGACGCUGAGGUGCGAAAGCGUGGGUAGCAAACAGGAUUAGAUACCCGAGUAGUC
rnacentral:rRNA from 1 species